AGCCGUGCGGUGAACGCAGACCGAACUAUUCUUUCGCCUUUUACUAAAAAUACUGUGUGCAACGCCGCAUCCAGCAGCAUAUGCCAAUUUUUUCAAGGGAUUUCUCUUCUUAGAGAAGC